UUAAAGUUGUCUGAUGCCGGCAGCAAGAUUACGCUUUUUGUGAUUUGUCGUGACCAAGACAAGGAAGAGUUGCUAGUUGACGACAAACAGUUAGAAUAUGUGUGGCAGGAUAUAGCUGGAAGCUCGCUCUGGAAGUUGGGAGUCACUGAGAUCACAGAAGGAUUUCACAUGGCGAAUCACACAUCCGAAUUCGGCGCAUACAUCAUAUACACCAGCGACAGCACAACGACGUUAAAUAUUCUGGGCUACAAUCUAGUUUAUAUGUCAUGUGAAGACACAGUUCAUUUAAUGUUGCCUGGAGAUCUAGUAGAUAAUGACUGUGACGGGACAGUGGAUGAAGAAAUUUUAAACA
rnacentral:sRNA from 1 species